GAUGAACGCUGGCGGCGUGCCUAAUACAUGCAAGUCGAGCGAACAGACGAGGAGCUUGCUCCUCUGACGUUAGCGGCGGACGGGUGAGUAACACGUGGAUAACCUACCUAUAAGACUGGGAUAACUUCGGGAAACCGGAGCUAAUACCGGAUAAUAUAUUGAACCGCAUGGUUCAAUAGUGAAAGACGGUUUUGCUUUCACUUAUAGAUGGAUCCGCGCCGCAUUAGCUAGUUGGUAAGGUAACGGCUUACCAAGGCAACGAUGCGUAGCCGACCUGAGAGGGUGAUCGGCCACACUGGAACUGAGACACGGUCCAGACUCCUACGGGAGGCAGCAGUAGGGAAUCUUCCGCAAUGGGCGAAGGCCUGACGGAGCAACGCCGCGUGAGUGAUGAAGGUCUUCGGAUCGUAAAACUCUGUUAUUAGGGAAGAACAAAUGUGUAAGUAACUAUGCACGUCUUGACGGUACCUAAUCAGAAAGCCACGGCUAACUACGUG
rnacentral:rRNA from 1 species